CAUAUUCCAGAAACCCGAUGCUGGCUCCCUCAUUUUCCAUAGACCUCAGCUUCAGUCCCUAAAGAAGAAAACGGUGACAAGAAAUCGGAAGUCCAAUGCAGUCUGUACUCUUCAUGGAUGAACUUCUCAUGUUAAGUGCAAGUAUUUAUAUGGUACAUGUCUGACAAAGGAAGCCUUCCUACAAUCAUUACUGAUUGGACAGCUCCUAUAGACAGCAUCAGUUUAUAAGUGUUUCCUUUCUGAUACACGUUACAGAAUACUGUAAAGAAAUUAUGAAAAUUAUAUUGAACAAAUCAAGAAGUGGUUCAAGUUUUUGAAAACCUCAAUUUAAAGUUUACAUAUUUUCAAAGUUGAAUAAUUUUACACUGGGGUGGGAAGUGAAGUAUAAAUAAACAUUUGCUUAAAGGUACUGAGUUGUGAUAAUUUUUCAUGGAAUGAGACUGUCAGGCAGUAGCAGUUAAAUUAAUAUAUACUGUACUUAAAAAAUUAAACACUUGAGAAAUAACCUUUUUAGCCACUGGAAAAUGGCAAAGUCUAAGACAUUUCAAUCAAGUUAAUUUGGGUAUUAGAGAAAUGCAUUUUCCCACCAGAAACUAUGUGAAGAAACAAAUUAAACAAAAUGGCCCUCCGGAUGCUCGGGUAGCCCUGGGCGAGGAGCGGCACCAUUGCUUGUCAAUUAGGUUAUUAUACACACACAUUCCCUCAUUUUAAAUCACGCCAAAGCUGAACGGUUGAAGGUAUAUCAAAAUGAAGCAUGACUUGCAAUUUAAAUGGUUUUUUGUUUCUUUGUUUUAACUUUCUUUUUACUCCUGGACAAAGGGUCCUGCUGGGUUUCUCAGGUUGGGCUGUCUAAUUUCUUAGCUCCAAAGAGCCUCCUGCCUCAGUCCCCUGCACAACAGCUGAGACUACAGGCUUGAACCCACUGUAGUAGCUUGAACCCACUGUAGCUUGAACCCACUGUAGCUUGAACCCACUGUAGUAGCUUGAACCCACUGUAGUAGCUUGAACCCACUGUAGUAGCUUGAACCCACUGUAGUAGCUUGAACCCACUGUAGUAGCUUGAACCCACUGUAGCUUGAACCCACUGUAGUAGCUUGAACCCACUGUAGUAGCUUGAACCCACUGUAGUAGCUUGAACCCACUGUAGUAGCUUGAACCCACUGUAGUAGCUUGAACCCACUGUAGCUUGAACCCACUGUAGUAGCUUGAACCCACUGUAGUAGCUUGAACCCACUGUAGUAGCUUGAACCCACUGUAGUAGCUUGAACCCACUGUAGUAGGCUCAGAGUUUCUCUUUAACAAGCACUAACCUAGAGCAACUAGUCUAAUUCAGCUAUGUGUUCUAGGAUCUUUCCCUAGCUCACCCUGGCAUGCUAAAGUUCCUAGAACAAAAGUUCCUGAGCAGUCUUGGAAGUAGAAGAAGAGGCCAGGAGAACACUUUAACCAGCUCUGAAGUUACCUCAAAGACACCAGCAUGGAGACAGAUCAGUUUUUCUGGCCACACUAGCUGCAGGGCUCAGGCCCAGACUUCCCAAGGCAGGACAGUGGCAAUUUGGACAGGUUACUUAACUCCCUCACCCCACCCCAACUUCCGUUUCUUUUACUUGUCAAGGUCUAGCCUUGGACUGGGUCCCCAACAAAUAUGCAACAGACCCUGAGAGCUGCUCACAGCCCCACUACACUGCAGAAGGCAGGGAAGGCAGGCAGGCUGUCCUUUUGCUUUUGUUUUCAACAACACCUUGAGACUAAGAAACAACAGAAGUAACUUUAGGAUUGCCGUAGGAGCUGAGUGUUUCUGUUAAAUUAUUUAUUUUAUUUAUAUGAGUACACUGUCACUGACACAUCAGAAAAGGGCAUCAAAUACCAUUACAGAUGGUUGAGAUGAUGUGGUUGCUGGGAAUUGAACUCAGGGCCUCUGGAAGAGCAGUCAGUGCUCUUAACCACUGAGCCCUCUCUCCAGCAUGGAGCUGAGUUUUUAAGGGCUAGGUUAAAGCCCUUCAUCUAAAACCACCGAAUGUAGGCAGGCACAGGAGACCCGGUGACUUCAGUUUGGGCACAUAAAAUUUUCUACUAAAGAGAAAAUUCCUCUGACACCAGAGGGGGCAACUUUUUAAAAUAAGCAAUGUUAUAUAGAUCAGUAAUAUUUGAUUAGAUACUUCCUUAUAGUUGACCAGGCUCCAACAAGAAAGAUGAGUAGCAAAUCAGAAACACCACCAAAUGGGAAGUAGAUCUAACAUCCUGUUGCCUCUUGGUACAUUCUAUUGCCUGUUCAAAAUGGAGUCUCAUAAAGUCAGGUUACCUUGAAAUUCUUACAUUGAAAUGUUGGAAUUUAUAAUCAUGAGCCACCAAAUCUAACUUAGUAUCUUUUUCUCCUACAUGCUCAGUGGGCAAGAGCUUGUUGCUCUUGCAGAGGACCAGCACCCACAUGGUGGCUCACAACUGUCUGUAACUCCAAUUACUGGGGAUCUGACGCCCUCUUCUGGACUGCACAGGCACUGCAUUCAUAUAACAUACAUCCAUGCACUCAGGGCUGGGACUGCAGGCAAGUGCCAUGUGUCGCCUUGACCAGGACAUGGGAUGCUGGGGCUCAAAACCAAGAAUUCCUGCACAGCGGGCAAGUGUUCGAGUUCCACCAACUGAACAACAUUCUCAUCCUGACAUACUCUUUUUGGGGGUUGAAGCGAACAAUGACCCAACAUCUCCUAGCUCCCCACACAAUGAGCAAUUAAAUUACUCCUUUCGGUUUCUGAAGUUUCAGCCAGUGGAUGAAUCCGUUCAGGCUGACGGCUGAGGCGGAAGGACGGUGAGCUCUAGGCCAGCCUGGACUACACAGUGAAGCCCAGCUUAAAAAAGAAAAAAACGGCCGGUGUCUUGGAGAAAACUGAGUUUCCAGCAGCUGGUACUCAUGUCCUUGUGACUCAGACAGCUUGGGCUCAUGAGCUCUACUCAGCUGACCUGUUGUAAUCGUCUGGGUAUAAAUUGUCUGAUGUUCUGAAUACGGGUGGGUAUUGAAGGAGACUUCAGGUUUGUUUUUUUUUUUUUUUUUUUAGCACCCCCUAUCUCCUAGGUUCAUGCAAUAGAUAAAUAAGUAUUAAAAUGUGCUCAGUAUCACUAACCAAGGAAACUCAAAGCACAAUUACUGCCUCUUAUCUGUUAUGGCUAUUACAAAAACCAUAAAAGAAACAAAUACUGACACGUGUGCAUAGAAAAGGGACUCAGUGUAGACUGUGAGUGGACUGUGAACUGGUGCAGUCACAUGAAAAACAGUACAAAGCACCUUUUUUUUUUUUUUUUUCAAAUUAAAAAUCUAGUAACGCCAUGACACCAAGGAACCCCGCCUGAAAACUUCAGCUCAGACUUCAGACAACUGUGCUACAGCACGUACCAAUUUUACUGCACAUCUGACACAUUCUGUUCUUAUAGAAACAUAAUUGUUUAAUUAGAGAAAAUAAACGUUUUAAUAUUUUCCUACUAUCAUUCUUUAAUAUACAAGUACAAAUUAAUCUGUGUUUAAACUGUAUCAUGUUAGAACAUUUAUUUUUAAGUGAAUAUUUUCAAAUAAUAAAUAUUUUCAUUUUAAAAGGAAAAUUUUAAAAAUUAAAGGUGCUGAAUUGAACU
rnacentral:lncRNA from 1 species